GAACAAUACUAGUUCUGCAAGUGUUAUGUUAGUUGUGUUUCAUCUUAACAUAUUAUGGAGUGUACAAUAACGCAACUAACAUAACACUUGCAGAACUAGUAUUGUUCA